AUUGAACGCUGGCGGCAUGCCUUACACAUGCAAGUCGAACGGCAGCACGGACUUCGGUCUGGUGGCGAGUGGCGAACGGGUGAGUAAUGCAUCGGAACGUACCCGGUAGUGGGGGAUAACUACCCGAAAGGGUGGCUAAUACCGCAUAUACUGUGCGCAGGAAAGCAGGGGACCUUCGGGCCUUGUGCUACCGGAGCGGCCGAUGUCAGAUUAGGUAGUUGGUGGGGUAACGGCCUACCAAGCCGGCGAUCUGUAGCGGGUCUGGGAGGAUGAUCCGCCACACUGGGACUGAGACACGGCCCAGACUCCUACGGGAGGCAGCAGUGGGGAAUUUUGGACAAUGGGCGCAAGCCUGAUCCAGCCAUGCCGCGUGAGUGAAGAAGGCCUUCGGGUUGUAAAGCUCUUUCGGACGGAAAGAAAUCGCGCAGGCUAAUACCCUGCGCGGAUGACGGUACCGUCAUAAGAAGCACCGGCUAACUACGUGCCAGCAGCCGCGGUAA
rnacentral:rRNA from 1 species